rnacentral:rRNA from 1 species
CUCUGUGACUCCUACGGGAGGCAGCAGUGGGGAAUAUUGCACAAUGGGGGAAACCCUGAUGCAGCCAUGCCGCGUAUGUGAAGAAGGCCUUCGGGUUGUAAAGCACUUUCAGUAGGGAGGAAGGUAGUGUAGUUAACACCUGCAUUAUUUGACGUUACCUACAGAAGAAGCACCGGCUAACUCCGUGCCAGCAGCCGCGGUAAUACGGAGGGUGCGAGCGUUAAUCGGAAUUACUGGGCGUAAAGCGCAUGCAGGCGGCCUGUUAAGUCAGAUGUGAAAGCCCCGGGGCUUAACCUCGGAAUUGCAUUUGAAACUGGCAGGCUAGAGUCUUGUAGAGGGGGUAGAAUUUCAGGUGUAGCGGUGAAAUGCGUAGAGAUCUGAAGGAAUACCAGUGGCGAAGGCGGCCCCCUGGACAAAGACUGACGCUCAGAUGCGAAAGCGUGGGGAGCAAACAGGAUUAGAUACCCUGGUAG